CUGUGAGUUUAACACUUCAUGACUGAGAGCUGUCCUUCAUGACAACAGAACCCACAACAACCAUGACUUUUAUCACCAUCUUCAUCUGGAUAUUUGCCCUCUGCUUUCAAGAGUCCAGAGGCCAGGUCACAGUGACCCAGACUCCUGCAGUGAAAGCUGUUUCAGUGGGUCACUCAGUCAGUCUCAGCUGUAAGACCAGCAGUGCAGUAUACAGUGAGACACAUGGACAGAGGUUGGCCUGGUAUCAACAGAAACUCGGAGAAUCUCCUAAACUCCUUACAUAUUUCAUUAGUACCCGUAACUCUGGGACUCCAUCUAGAUUCAGUGGCAGUGGAUCUGAGAGUGACUUCACUCUGACCAUCAGUGGAGUCCAGGCUGAAGAUGCAGGAGAUUACUACUGUCAGAGUUUCCACCUUCCCAACAGUGUCUGGGUGGUAACACAGUGAUACAGAGCCGUACAAAAACCUCCCUCAGUCAGACUGCACAGUGACUGUACUGAUACAGCUGGGACCUACUGCAGGUGCUGAGGGGGAAGAGACAGUGACAUGGAACACUGAUCAGUAGAGGGGGUAAACUUUGAAAAUGGUUAGAAAGUAUCAUACAAAUCACACGUUCUCCCAACGUCAUCAUCGUCAUCAUGGUUGUAACUUGUUAUAUUGGACAUGAACUGAAAGUGUAUAUACAGUAAAAGUUAUUUGUAGUUUU